rnacentral:rRNA from 1 species
GACGAACCGUCCAAACGUUAUUCGGAAUCACUGGGCUUAAAGGGCGCGUAGGCGGCCGAGCGGGUCACGGGUGAAAUCCUCCAGCUUAACUGGAGAACUGCCCUUGAUACCACUGCGGCUCGAGGAAGGAAGGGGUCAUGGGAACUGUCGGUGGAGCGGUGAAAUGCGUUGAUAUCGACAGGAACGCCGGUGGCGAAAGCGCAUGACUGGUCCUUUCUGACGCUGAGGCGCGAAAGCCAGGGGAGCAAACGGG